UACGAAGGGUGCAAACGUUGCUCGGAAUUAUUGGGCGUAAAGAGCUCGUAGGCGGUUCGUCGCGUCGGCUGUGAAAUCCCGAGGCUCAACCUCGGGUCUGCAGUCGAUACGGGCGGACUGGAGUUCGGCAGGGGAGACUGGAAUUCCUGGUGUAGCGGUGAAAUGCGCAGAUAUCAGGAGGAACACCGGUGGCGAAGGCGGGUCUCUGGGGCCGAUACUGACGUGAGGAGCGAAAAGCGUGGGGGAGC
rnacentral:rRNA from 1 species